rnacentral:rRNA from 1 species
UACGUAGGGGGCCAGCGUUGUCCGAAGUUACUGGGCGUAAAGAGCGUGUAGGCGGGCUCUUUAGUAGAGGUGAAAGGUUCAGGGCUCAACCCGAACACUGCCUUUCAUACUGGGGACCUUGAGGGCAGGAGAGGCGAGUGGAAUGGUCGGUGUAGCGGUGAAAUGCGUAGAUAUCGAUCGGAACACCCAUGGCGAAGGCAGGUCUCUGGGCCACUACUGACGCUGAGAAGCGAAAGCAUGGGGAGCGAACAGG